rnacentral:pre_miRNA from 1 species
UUUUUAGUAUAAGUAUGUCUCAUUUCAUGUUUGGGAUAUACUUAUACUUAAA